rnacentral:rRNA from 1 species
CACGUAGGGUGCGAGCGUUGUCCGGAAUUAUUGGGCGUAAAGAGCUCGUAGGCGGUCUGUCGCGUCGGGAGUGAAAUCUUACAGCUUAACUGUGAACUUGCUUUCGAUACGGGCAGACUUGAGGCAUUCAGGGGAGAACGGAAUUCCGUGGUGUAGCGGUGAAAUGCGCAGAUAUCAGGAGGAACACCGGUGGCGAAGGCGGUUCUCUGGGAAUGUCCUGACGCUGAGGAGCGAAAGUGUGGGGAGCGAACAGG